rnacentral:rRNA from 1 species
GGGUUGUGAGGUUAAGCGACUAAGCGUACACGGUGGAUGCCCUGGCAGUCAGAGGCGAUGAAGGACGUGCUAAUCUGCGAUAAGCGUCGGUAAGGUGAUAUGAACCGUUAUAACCGGCGAUUUCCGAAUGGGGAAACCCAGUGUGUUUCGACACACUAUCAUUAACUGAAUCCAUAGGUUAAUGAGGCGAACCGGGGGAACUGAAACAUCUAAGUACCCCGAGGAAAAGAAAUCAACCGAGAUUCCCCCAGUAGCGGCGAGCGAACGGGGAGCAGCCCAGAGCCUGAAUCAGUAUGUGUGUUAGUGGAAGCGUCUGGAAAGGCGCGCGAUACAGGGUGACAGCCCCGUACACAAAAAUGCACAUGCUGUGAGCUCGAUGAGUAGGGCGGGACACGUGGUAUCCUGUCUGAAUAUGGGGGGACCAUCCUCCAAGGCUAAAUACUCCUGACUGACCGAUAGUGAACCAGUACCGUGAGGGAAAGGCGAAAAGAACCCCGGCGAGGGGAGUGAAAAAGAACCUGAAACCGUGUACGUACAAGCAGUGGGAGCACGCUUAGGCGUGUGACUGCGUACCUUUUGUAUAAUGGGUCAGCGACUUAUAUUCUGUAGCAAGGUUAACCGAAUAGGGGAGCCGAAGGGAAACCGAGUCUUAACUGGGCGUUAAGUUGCAGGGUAUAGACCCGAAACCCGGUGAUCUAGCCAUGGGCAGGUUGAAGGUUGGGUAACACUAACUGGAGGACCGAACCGACUAAUGUUGAAAAAUUAGCGGAUGACUUGUGGCUGGGGGUGAAAGGCCAAUCAAACCGGGAGAUAGCUGGUUCUCCCCGAAAGCUAUUUAGGUAGCGCCUCGUGAAUUCAUCUCCGGGGGUAGAGCACUGUUUCGGCAAGGGGGUCAUCCCGACUUACCAACCCGAUGCAAACUGCGAAUACCGGAGAAUGUUAUCACGGGAGACACACGGCGGGUGCUAACGUCCGUCGUGAAGAGGGAAACAACCCAGACCGCCAGCUAAGGUCCCAAAGUCAUGGUUAAGUGGGAAACGAUGUGGGAAGGCCCAGACAGCCAGGAUGUUGGCUUAGAAGCAGCCAUCAUUUAAAGAAAGCGUAAUAGCUCACUGGUCGAGUCGGCCUGCGCGGAAGAUGUAACGGGGCUAAACCAUGCACCGAAGCUGCGGCAGCGACACUAUGUGUUGUUGGGUAGGGGAGCGUUCUGUAAGCCUGUGAAGGUGUACUGUGAGGUAUGCUGGAGGUAUCAGAAGUGCGAAUGCUGACAUAAGUAACGAUAAAGCGGGUGAAAAGCCCGCUCGCCGGAAGACCAAGGGUUCCUGUCCAACGUUAAUCGGGGCAGGGUGAGUCGACCCCUAAGGCGAGGCCGAAAGGCGUAGUCGAUGGGAAACAGGUUAAUAUUCCUGUACUUGGUGUUACUGCGAAGGGGGGACGGAGAAGGCUAUGUUGGCCGGGCGACGGUUGUCCCGGUUUAAGCGUGUAGGCUGGUUUUCCAGGCAAAUCCGGAAAAUCAAGGCUGAGGCGUGAUGACGAGGCACUACGGUGCUGAAGCAACAAAUGCCCUGCUUCCAGGAAAAGCCUCUAAGCAUCAGGUAACAUCAAAUCGUACCCCAAACCGACACAGGUGGUCAGGUAGAGAAUACCAAGGCGCUUGAGAGAACUCGGGUGAAGGAACUAGGCAAAAUGGUGCCGUAACUUCGGGAGAAGGCACGCUGAUAUGUAGGUGAAGUCCCUCGCGGAUGGAGCUGAAAUCAGUCGAAGAUACCAGCUGGCUGCAACUGUUUAUUAAAAACACAGCACUGUGCAAACACGAAAGUGGACGUAUACGGUGUGACGCCUGCCCGGUGCCGGAAGGUUAAUUGAUGGGGUCAGCGCAAGCGAAGCUCUUGAUCGAAGCCCCGGUAAACGGCGGCCGUAACUAUAACGGUCCUAAGGUAGCGAAAUUCCUUGUCGGGUAAGUUCCGACCUGCACGAAUGGCGUAAUGAUGGCCAGGCUGUCUCCACCCGAGACUCAGUGAAAUUGAACUCGCUGUGAAGAUGCAGUGUACCCGCGGCAAGACGGAAAGACCCCGUGAACCUUUACUAUAGCUUGACACUGAACAUUGAGCCUUGAUGUGUAGGAUAGGUGGGAGGCUUUGAAGUGUGGACGCCAGUCUGCAUGGAGCCGACCUUGAAAUACCACCCUUUAAUGUUUGAUGUUCUAACGUGGACCCGUAAUCCGGGUUGCGGACAGUGUCUGGUGGGUAGUUUGACUGGGGCGGUCUCCUCCUAAAGAGUAACGGAGGAGCACGAAGGUUGGCUAAUCCUGGUCGGACAUCAGGAGGUUAGUGCAAUGGCAUAAGCCAGCUUGACUGCGAGCGUGACGGCGCGAGCAGGUGCGAAAGCAGGUCAUAGUGAUCCGGUGGUUCUGAAUGGAAGGGCCAUCGCUCAACGGAUAAAAGGUACUCCGGGGAUAACAGGCUGAUACCGCCCAAGAGUUCAUAUCGACGGCGGUGUUUGGCACCUCGAUGUCGGCUCAUCACAUCCUGGGGCUGAAGUAGGUCCCAAGGGUAUGGCUGUUCGCCAUUUAAAGUGGUACGCGAGCUGGGUUUAGAACGUCGUGAGACAGUUCGGUCCCUAUCUGCCGUGGGCGCUGGAGAAUUGAGGGGGGCUGCUCCUAGUACGAGAGGACCGGAGUGGACGCAUCACUGGUGUUCGGGUUGUCAUGCCAAUGGCACUGCCCGGUAGCUAAAUGCGGAAGAGAUAAGUGCUGAAAGCAUCUAAGCACGAAACUUGCCCCGAGAUGAGUUCUCCCUGACUCCUUGAGAGUCCUGAAGGAACGUUGAAGACGACGACGUUGAUAGGCCGGGUGUGUAAGCGCAGCGAUGCGUUGAGCUAACCGGUACUAAUGAACCGUGAGGCUUAACCUUACAACGCCGAAG